rnacentral:lncRNA from 1 species
GAAGACUGAGAAUAGAAGUAUAUCGAACUCCUAGUACUGUGAGUAACCUUAUUAUCAUUUUAAUCAUCUAAAGUAUGUUUUAAUUCGAUUUUGGCGAAAUUUUAUGAAAAUGAGUUAAAUGGCAAAUUUUAGGUUUUAUAAACAAAAAUAAGUUUAAAUAAAAAGAUUUUAUAAAUUGUUUUGGAAACUGAAUGAUGAUUUUGAAAAUAAAGUAAUUGGAAACCACUGAUAUGUUGUAAAUUUUAGAUUGAAUUGAUGGCUUAUGUUAUUGUGUUGGCAUGACUAACUGGGCUGUGUUUUAUGAAUUGUAUGAAUUGUUUUAUUUUACCCUUGCAAUCUGGGUAGUAAUAAAUUAGCCUUGUCAUGCUGUCAAAAUUUUAUUGUAUGGUCGGUUUAGCUUUUUGCAGUAAGCGGGUUUUCGUGGACUAGCCUAUUAGAGGGGCACAAUAAACCCCAUUAUAUUUUACCUCGGUUGGAGAGGCGAGUAAGGUAACUCCCGAGGUAUGAUUUUAGAGUUAACUUCACGCCAAACCACCACGUGAAGGUGAGCUCGGCCAACGCCAAGGAACGACUAUAUUUUCAAAAUGAAAACAUGUUUUAUGCGUACAUUACUUUCUAAUAGCCUUGGCGAACUCAGUUGGGAUAGCCCUCGGCCAAGGUAUCCUAGAUAAUUGAGUAUGAUAACAAUUUUUGGCAUGAGCCAAGCUUUUUAAGAAAUUCAUAAGCCAUAUUGAUUACUUGAUUUAAAUAAAUUGAUUUCAUUUGGUUGAAAUAAGUUGAAAAUGAUAAAUUACAGUUUGAUGUAAUGUUUUAAUAGUCUUCUUUUACUCACCUUUAGAUAUUUUAAAUGAUAUUUGUUUACUCAAUGGAAUUUUAUAAUCUCAACCACCCUCCUUUCCACCAAUUUCAAGCAUUAAGAUAGUCGGUAAAUAGCUCAUUUCAUCGAGGACUACAAUUGGAUUGGCAUCCUCAAAAUAUGUAGGUUCAAUUCUUUUGACACUUUUAGUCAUUCGUGGGCCCACAUGUCACUGCAAAUUUAAUUUUAUACUUUGGUUAUUUAUAUUACAAUAUAUAUGAAUUUAUUUUUCUUUUUCGUUGUAAAAAUGAUUUACACAGUGUUCUAAUAAUAUUGUUUUAUGAAAAAAAUUGAAUAUUUUAUUCUAUAUCUUUAUUAUAUUUAAAUAGUUAUAAUUUCAUUUUAAAUGAAAGUUUGAGAUGUUUAAAUUUAUUUUUGAUUAUGAAUUAUGUGUUUAAUACUUGCAUACUACAUUUUUAACUGGUGUCGAAACUUUUGAGGAAAAAUGACCAAAAUGCCCUUGUGAGACAGAAAUAAUUUUUUUUUAUUGAUUUUAGUUAGAAAUAGCUUAAAUUCUUUUAGAACGUGAUAUUUGGUAACGAUUGCUCACCAGGGAAAAGAGAAACUGAUAUUAAAGCCUUGCGGGGUUCUGGUUGAUAAUCUAGGUAAUGAGUGUUGAUUGGGACAACGCAGCGGUUGUCACGGGCUCGAUGGGUGUUCCGGGUCGUGACAAUUAUAUUGGUAUCAGAGCUUUUGUUUUUAAAGAUAUGAGUUUUUGAUUUUAAAGUUAUUUAAAAACUACAGUGUCAGUGUGGCCCGAGUUAAGUUAAGUUAGGUUUGAUAGAAUAGAAUACGUGCAUCUGCACAUAGAAUUUGGAGCUAUUUUGACUCGUUUUAUUUCUUCUUAUAGAUAUUAUGGGAGCAUAAGUCAUAGACAGGGAGCUAUAUGAACUCCUGUUCUCAGUAAUCCACUUCUUUGUUAAUGUCAUGCAAAGGUCAUAAGUAGGGUUGUCGUCCGGGUUUAAGAUGCCACCCGUGACAUGAGCCAGUGUUGGAGAGAUCUUAAAACGAAUGCUCCUAAUGAAGGAUUAAUGAAAUGAUAUAUCCCUCCGAUUAAGGAUGGAGAAAUUUGGAGUUGGAUUAAUAGGCUGUGAUAAUUUAUUCAUUUGGUGGACUGUAUAAAUUAAGCAUUGAGGUAAAAGUAAACCUAUACUUAUGUGCAUGAAGAUAAGAACACUAUGCUAAUUAAGCUUGUUGUGCCCAUAUAAAGGUGGUGUUGGGAUUUUGAAAUAUUUUAUAUGUGAAUAUGUGUUGAAUUGGUACAGCAGCUUAGAGGGAACUGAUGUUGAUUUCAAUUAAGCGAUUGUGAGAUUUCAAGAAUUAAUUGGACCUAUUAUAGUUCAUGGAUAUAAGCACGUGAAUUAACUCGAGAGUGAGUAUCAAUGAUUACUAUAAUUAAUGUGUGGUCAUGAAGUAAGAAGUUAGUAAAUAAAUCUGCUCUAAGGAUGAGCUUGAACUUAUCUAUGCAUAGAAAAGAGGGAGCCAAGGGAUUAAAAGACUAAAUGUGGAAUUCGCAGCUUGAGGUUAAAUGACUUAGAAAUGUCGAAUCUAUUCUAAGUGCCAUAUGAAGUUCUAUAAUUGAGACUGAUUACGAAUUACUUGAAAAAUCAAUUUAAAAGUUUAUUCAGUUCAAAGUGUGGCCUAUGAUACGAAUGAUCAGUCUUGAAGGUGAUCUCCCUAGAGUAAGGAAUUUAGAAAAUGUUGAUACUUGGAUAUACUCUAAGAGAGAGAACUUCUGCAUCCUAAGUUUGAGACAACUUUGAUCUUAUGAUCGCAAAGGCAAGGUGUAAUAACUAAGUAAAUUUUUCGCUUAACAAAUGUGAUUGGUUAUUGAGGGAUACAGUCAAGAUCUUAACAUUUAGUGGUGUACAAUUUCAUAAUUAUGUAUUUAAGAGCUAUUUGGAGACAAUUCCUUCAUCAAAUUUGCACUAAAUGCUAUGGUAAAGGCAUAUCAAUGUUAAUAUGAAAAUGUAUCCAGGAAUGAUCUUAACACAUCACCAAAGGAGAAUUAAACAUGUUGAAAUUAAUGUUCUAAUAGUGUGCAUAUGAUCGAAAUCUAGUUUGAAAGUUGUAGUUUUCAUGAUCAUGAAAUAUAUAAAGAUUAUCAAUAUAUGGAUAUACACUUGGAGUUGUAAUUUACGAGUUUGGAGUAUUUAAGAUAUGAUUAAAUGGAAUUGGCAUUAGUUAAGGUACGUAAAUCUUCUAAUUAAAUUCUAUGGAGUAUGCAUGAUAGUAGAAUGAAGGAAUAUAGUGUCGUGAUACUAUAUGGUGAAGUUACUAUACAAUAUGGAAAGAGUGUUCUAAAGUGAGAUUUAUUGACUGAUGAUAAAGGAUGUGCAAUCUGAGAUACAUGUAGCUAUGAAUAAAUUUGGAGAUUUUUACUUAAGCAAAUUCGUACUAAAUGAUAUGGUAAAGAUAUAUGAAUGGUAACGGUAAAAUAAAUACGUUAAAUCAAUGUUCUGAUCGCCCACUUGUGAUAGAAAGUUAGUAUUGCUAAUUGUGGUAUAGACUCAGAGGGAAGCCACACGAGUAUGAAUAAUUGAGGUAGUAGUUUUAAAGGUGGAAUAGUUGCUGGAAUAAAGUGAAUUCAAAUAGUUACAAUGCCAUAGUACUGACUAUCAAACGCUGUCACGUUAAGAACCCCUAAUGGCUAGAAAGCAAGAGUAAAUUAUGAGCGGCAUAAAUAUGCAACUCACGAGUUGAAAUAUGGUUGUUGGUUUUGAUACUAAGCUUUGUUGUUUGGAGUCUUUAAGUGCAUUGGGGAGGUAUUAAGAUAAAGAUGAUCAGUGAAAUUGCAGAGUUUCUUUAUUGCCUUAUAUAUGGGCAUGUAAGAGAAAGAAAAGUUAGAGAGUUUUUGAGAUGGCUACAUAAAAAAAUAAAUUAACAUAUGGAGUGUUAAAAGGAAUAAUAUGUUGACUAAAGUCAAAUCUUAAGAAAUAAAGUGAAUCUUGUAAAAGGUUAAAGAGGAAGUGAGGGAAAGGUUAGAUGAAUGUAUGAGAUAUUGAUGAGAGAUGACAAUACCAAGUGAUAAAAGUGUGAAUAAAGAUUUUAAGAAUGAUAUAGCAAAUGAACUUAUAUAGAAUAUUGUUACGAGAAUUUACUAAUCUUGUUUUGACGACCUUGUUGAAAAGAAAGGAUUAGUAACAAUACAAGUAAAUUACGGGGUAUGAUAGAAACUUUUGGAGAUAAGUUGAACCAUGCGUAGUUGAGCAUGCAUGUAAAUAUUUUGGUGAGCAAGUGCAUGCCUUUAUGGAAAUGAUAUACUUGGAGUAUGAAAAAGCAAAUAAGUGAUUAAGUGUUUCAAGAAUAUUUAAAUACCUUUGACGAAGAAUUAUAAAUUAUACAAGAUGAGUAUAAGAUGUGUGAUUUUGAAACUUGCUGAGGAGUCAAAUGGCUAAGUCACGAGUUAAGUAAUCAUCUGUUGUGAGACAUAAGUUUAAGAUAGAUAUUCCCAAGGAAAUACUCAAGAGAAGUUUUGCUCUGGAUCUCGUUAAAGCAAGCACUAAGUUAUGUGAUUAUAAAAAGGAAGCUGUAAGCUGAGAGUGAUAUUAGUAUUAAUAUUGAAAAAUACUUGAGGAGAAUCUAGUUUUAAGUUUUACAAUUUCAAGUACAAUUUAUAAAUUGGUUAAGGAAGAAUGAUGUUAUGUUCAUAUGAAGGAGUGGAACAAAGGAUGAUAGAAGUUGACCUUGAAAAUGAAGUCAGAUAAUGAAACUUUCCUAAUAUAUUAUGGAAAUUGGAAUUCGAAAAUGCUUAAGGCAUACAUGAUUCAAAUGGGUUCGAGUCUUAAGUGACAAAUCAAUAUCGUAAUGCAAGAAAGAUACAAGGUAAUAUAGAGGCAUGAAAGAUGAUUAAGGACAAAAGGAUGACUCUUAGGAAUUGUGGUAUUGCAUGAGAUGCAAUGAUCAAGUUGAGAUAAAUCUUUGAGGCAUCAAUAGGAUUAUAAAGCAUACACGCAUAAUAGAUUAUAAUUCAAUGGAGAUGACAUUGUGAUGAAUGAUAUAUAGUAUAAGGAAACUCAAACAUAUGGUUGGAAAUGAUAUGAAUGAUAUGAAGUUAUACACAAGUAUAAUAAGAAGGUUGACAUGCACUAUAAGAAUUAUUAUAUUGAAACUAGGAUUGGGAUACGGAUGAAUAAAGGGGGAAUGUAGUCCAAGGCAUGUGAACACAUGGAUUCCUAUAUAUAAAGAGAGAUGUUGACAUUUGAAAAUGCAUGUAUAUAUGUAUAUAUGAAAUUGAUAAUUUUACUAACUAAAGUGAAGAAUGGUUCUCAGUAAUUGGGAGAUUUUGAAAUAGUGUCCAGAGAGGUCAGUGAGCUAAAGUGUUAACGGACAUGCAAUGAACGAUUAAAGUUAUGAGUGACUUUGAAGGUAAACCUUGGAUUGUUUAAGUUCUUAAUGGAACUCUAUUAAAGGAAGUGUAUAGACCAGUAUAAGAUGGAUGAAUCAAGGUUGAGAAAUUUGGUACGGAGCGAAUUAAUAAAAUGAUGAUUAGGUAUACAUAAGUAAGUAUGAUAUGUGAUCGAAAUCAGUAUAAUUGAGGUGAAGUUAUGGUUCAAAUUUAAUAAUGGUGAUAAAGGCAUGCUUAGUGUCUCGAUAUAAGAGAUCAUGGUUGUGAAAAGUAUUACUGAUCCAGUUCCAAAGGAUGAUAAUUGCCAUAAAUAAAGCAUUUAAUUGAACUGAAGGUGAACGAGGUAAAUAAAUUGAAUGUCCCUAUAGAAGGAACAAGGAGUAGGAUCAUAGAAGGAGAUUGAUAACGCAACAUCGACGGGAAUUCGAGGACGAAUUCUAUUUAAGUGGGGGAGAUUGAAAUACCCCAUACUUUGAUAUGGUGAUAAAUAAAGUUGGUCAGAUGCGAAUUGAGGCAUAAUAAGGAACUUUGGGAACCAAAGAGACAAGAUAAAAUUUUUAGAAUAAAAUAAUAUUUUAUUAAUGAAAUAAUAUUAAAAUAUUAAUAUUUAGCUAGAUGUCGAAAUCAAUCAUGAAGAAGGAUCAUAUGGUUGAUCCAAGUGGGGGAGAAGAUGUCAAGCCUGACUCUGUAAAAUAUUUGUCAUGACAUACAUGUGAUGGAUAGCAUGUUUGCAUGCUAGGAGAGUCUUGAAAAAUUUACAAAAGUCGGUAUUGUACCUAGAGGUACAAUAAAGUUAAUUUAAGCCUCAAACUAGAUAAAAUAGAGAAUUUAAGGUGAAAUUAAGAAUUUUAAAGUUCCAAAAUGGUUUAAUAUGGUGAUUUGGAGUUCGAGGAUCAAUUUGGAGUUAAACCGAAAAUUUCACUAUCUAGGGGUAAAAUGGUAAUUUUGCCACUUGAUGACAAAAUGGAAAUUUUUUUUAAAGAUUUUGAUUAUAUUUGACUUAUUGGAGUAUGAUUUUGAGGUUGAGAAGUGAAAAAUGGUGAUCCCGAUAUUUUUUAGAGUAUAGGGAUAAAAUGGUAAUUUUGUCACCCCAAGGGCAAAAUUAUAAUUUUUCACCACCAGAACACUUGUCCAGCACAUGGAUUUUACCCAAUUUUAUCAUGGAUAAUUGAAGGAAUUUAUAUGGUGGAGAGAGAAAGCUUAAUAGUUAAGAAAUAAAAAUGGACCAAUGAAAUGGUGACACAUGGCAUAUUUAUAACCAUUAAAUAUUUAGCUUUAAAGUUUACACAAAAUCAGCCCAUUUCUCAUUCAUAUGGCCUGCUAAAGAAGAACAAAGGAGGAAAGAAAAAAAAACAAGAACCCUAGGUGGGAAAAUUGAAGAAAAAAUGUGGGAUUUCAUGGGAUUAAGCUAAUGAAGGUAAAAUUUCUUGAUUUUGACUUGUGAUUUACACUACCCAUGCUUUCUUUUUUCAUUUUCCAUGGUUAGAUUUCAUGUUUUCAUGGUGAAUUCAUGGCUGCUUGGAAUGCGUAUGGAGAGAGAAUGAUGUUGGAUUGAUUUGAUUCUAAGUUAUGUUAGUAUUUUUAGUUAGUUUAUCAUGUCUAUAAACAAAACAACAAGAAAAGAAUUCAUUUUCCCCAUCACCCAUCAAUGGACGAAUUUUCUAGGGAGGAUAUUGUGGCUGAAAUUGAUGAUAUUUUAUGAUAUUUUGGUGAUAUGUGAUGUUUGGUGAGGCUAAAAAUUAAAUAGGAAAUUUUGGUGUGAAAAUCUGAAUUUUUGCUUAACAUAUAGACAUGUGUGAUUAUUGACCCGGGACUGAUAAGUUGAAUCUCAUUCAUAGUCACUGAGGUAAUUUAGGUAUAAUUGGAGUGUAGAAAGUGAGAAGAAUUGAAUUGGAGUUAAAUUGGAGAUUUUAGCCGAUUAGGCCGAGUAUAUUGUGACUUAGGUCGAAUAUCACAUUUAAGUGAUUAAUCAGACAUUUUGCAUCCCAUCGCAUGCAUUCAUUUAGAUUUAGAGAGCCUGUAAUAGUUUAUGAUAAAUUGACACAAUUUAUUGAAAUUCGUGUCACGUAUGAUGUAUAAGUGGUGAGCCCUCUAACAAAGGUAAAGAGAUUGUACCCGAAGAUCGGGAAUAAGAGUAUAUCGAACUCCUAGUACUGUGAGUACCCUUAUUAUCAUUUUAAUUAUCUAAGAUAUGUUUUAAUUUGGUUUUGGUGAAAUUUUAUGAAAAUGAGUUAAAUGGCAAAUUUUAGGUUUUAUAAACAAAAAUAAGUUUAAAUAAAAAGAUUUUAUAAAUUGUUUUGGAAAUUGAAUGAUGAUUUUGAAAAUAGAGUAAUUGGAAACCACUGAUAUGUUGUAAAUUUAAGAUUGAAUUGAUGGCUUAUGUUAUUCUGUUAGCAUGACUGAUUGGGCUGUGUUUUAUGAAUUGUAUGAAUUGUUUUAUUUUACCCUUGCAGGCUUGGUAGUAAUAUAUUAGCCCUGUCAUGCUAUCAAAAUUUUAUUGUAUAGUGGGUUUAGCUUACUGCAGUAGGCGGGUUUCAGUGGACUAGCCUAUUAGAGGGGCACGGUAAACCCUGUUAUAUUUUACCUCGGUUGGAGAGGCGAGUAGGGUAACUCCCGAGGUAUGAUUUUAGAGUUCACUUCAUGCCAAACCACCACGUGAAGGUGAGCUCGGCCAACGCCAAGGAACGACUAUAUUUUCAAAAUGAAAACAUGUUUUAUGCGUACAUUACUUUCUAAUAUCCUUGGCGGACUCAGUUGGGAUAGCCCUUGGCCAAGGUAUCCCAGAUAACUGAGUGUGAUAACAAUUUUUGGCAUGAGCCAAGCUUUUAAAGAAAUUCAUAAGCCAUAUUGAUUACUUGAUUUAAAUAAUUUGAUUUCAUUUUGUUGAAAUAAGUUGAAAAAUGAUAAAUUACAAUUUGAUGAAAUGUUUUAAUAGUCUCCUUUUACUCGUCUUUAGAUAUUUUAAAUGAUAUUUGUUUACUCACUAGGAUUUUAUAAUCUCAACCACCUUCCUUUCCACCCAUUUCAGGCAUCAGGAUAGUCGGUAAAUAGCUCAUUUCAUCGAGGACUACAAUUGGAUUGGCAUCCUCAAAAUAUGUAGGUUCAAUUCUUUUGAUACUUUUAGUCAUUCGUGGGCUCGCGUGUCACUGUAAAUUUAAUUUUAUACUUUGGUUAUCUAUAUUACAAUAUAUAUAAAUUUAUUUUGCUUUUUCGUUGUAAAAAUUAUUUACCCAG